rnacentral:rRNA from 1 species
AAUGGGUGAUAGCGUGCCUUUUGUAGAAUGAACCGGCGAGUUACGAUUUGUUGCAAGGUUAAGCGGAAAAAGCGGAGCCGUAGCGAAAGCGAGUCUGAAUAGGGCGCAUAAGUAACAGGUCGUAGACCCGAAACCAGGUGAUCUACCCAUGUCCAGGAUGAAGGUAAGGUAAUACUUACUGGAGGUCCGAACCCACGCACGUUGAAAAGUGCGGGGAUGAGGUGUGGGUAGCGGAGAAAUUCCAAUCGAACUUGGAGAUAGCUGGUUCUCUCCGAAAUAGCUUUAGGGCUAGCCUCGAGGUAAAGAGUCAUGGAGGUAGAGCACUGUUUGGACUAGGGGCCCUUCUCGGGUUACCGAAUUCAGAUAAACUCCGAAUGCCAUGUACUUAUACUCGGGAGUCAGACUGCGAGUGAUAAGAUCCGUAGUCGAAAGGGAAACAGCCCAGACCACCAGUUAAGGUCCCCAAAUAUAUGUUAAGUGGAAAAGGAUGUGGGGUUGCUUAGACAACCAGGAUGUUGGCUUAGAAGCAGCCACCAUUGAAAGAGUGCGUAAUAGCUCACUGGUCGAGUGACCCCGCGCCGAAAAUGUACCGGGGCUAAACAUAUUACCGAAACUGUGGAUGAACCUCUUUAGAGGUUCGUGGUAGGAGAGCGUUCUAAGGGCGGUGAAGUCAGACCGGAAGGACUGGUGGAGCGCUUAGAAGUGAGAAUGCCGGUAUGAGUAGCGAAAGAAGGGUGAGAAUCCCUUCCACCGAAUAUCUAAGGUUUCCUGAGGAAGGCUCGUCCGCUCAGGGUUAGUCGGGACCUAAGCCGAGGCCGAUAGGCGUAGGCGAUGGACAACAGGUAGAGAUUCCUGUACCAGUGCUAAUUGUUUAACCGAUGGGGUGACACAGAAGGAUAGGGAAUCGCACGAAUGGAAAUGUGCGUCCAAGCAGUGAGUGUGAGAAGUAGGCAAAUCCGCUUCUCGCGAAGCAUGAGCUGUGAUGGGGAAGGAAAUUAAGUACGGAAGUUCCUGAUUUCACGCUGUCAAGAAAAGCCUCUAGGAAGAGUAGUACUGCCCGUACCGCAAACCGACACAGGUAGAUGAGGAGAGAAUCCUAAGGUGAGCGAGAGAACUCUCGUUAAGGAACUCGGCAAAAUGACCCCGUAACUUCGGGAGAAGGGGUGCUCUAUUAGGGUGCAAGCCCGAGAGAGCCGCAGUGAAUAGGCCCAGGCGACUGUUUAGCAAAAACACAGGUCUCUGCAAAACCGUAAGGUGACGUAUAGGGGCUGACGCCUGCCCGGUGCUGGAAGGUUAAGAGGAGUGCUUAGCUUCGGCGAAGGUACGAAUUGAAGCCCCAGUAAACGGCGGCCGUAACUAUAACGGUCCUAAGGUAGCGAAAUUCCUUGUCGGGUAAGUUCCGACCCGCACGAAAGGCGCAACGAUCUGGGCACUGUCUCAACGAGAGACUCGGUGAAAUUAUAGUACCUGUGAAGAUGCAGGUUACCCGCGACAGGACGGAAAGACCCCGUGGAGCUUUACUGCAACCUGAUAUGGAAUGUUUGUACCGCUUGUACAGGAUAGGUAGGAGCCGAAGAGACGUGUGCGCUAGCAUACGAGGAGGCAAUGGUGGGAUACUACCCUGGCUGUAUGACCAUUCUAACCCGCCACGCUUAGCGCGUGGGGAGACAGUGUCAGGUGGGCAGUUUGACUGGGGCGGUCGCCUCCUAAAGAGUAACGGAGGCGCCCAAAGGUUCCCUCAGAAUGGAUGGAAAUCAUUCGCAGAGUGUAAAGGCACAAGGGAGCUUGACUGCGAGACUGACAAGUCGAGCAGGGACGAAAGUCGGGCUUAGUGAUCCGGUGGUUCCGCAUGGAAGGGCCAUCGCUCAACGGAUAAAAGCUACCCCGGGGAUAACAGGCUUAUCUCCCCCAAGAGUCCACAUCGACGGGGAGGUUUGGCACCUCGAUGUCGGCUCGUCGCAUCCUGGGGCUGUAGUCGGUCCCAAGGGUUGGGCUGUUCGCCCAUUAAAGCGGCACGCGAGCUGGGUUCAGAACGUCGUGAGACAGUUCGGUCCCUAUCCGUCGCGGGCGCAGGAAAUUUGAGAGGAGCUGUCCUUAGUACGAGAGGACCGGGAUGGACACACCGCUGGUGUACCAGUUGUUCCGCCAGGAGCAUCGCUGGGUAGCUAUGUGUGGCAGGGAUAAACGCUGAAAGCAUCUAAGCGUGAAGCCCCCCUCAAGAUGAGAUUUCCCAUUUCUUCGGAAAGUAAGAUCCCUGAAAGAUGAUCAGGUAGAUAGGUUUGGAGUGGAAGUGUAGCGAUACAUGGAGCGGACAAAUACUAAUCGAUCGAGGACUUAACCAAAA